rnacentral:tRNA from 2 species
GCCGCAUUCGUCUAGUGGUCCAGGACAUCUGCCUCUCACGCAGAAGAUCAUCAGUUCGACUCUGAUAUGCGGUA